GACGAACGCUGGCGGCGUGCUUAACACAUGCAAGUCGAACGGUGAAGCCUUCGGGUGGAUCAGUGGCGAACGGGUGAGUAACACGUGAGCAAUCUGCCCUUGACUCUGGGAUAACUUCGGGAAACCGGAGCUAAUACCGGAUAUGACAUCUGGCCGCAUGGUCUGGGUGUGGAAAGAUUUAUCGGUCAAGGAUGAGCUCGCGGCCUAUCAGCUUGUUGGUGGGGAAUGGCCACCAAGGCGACGACGGGUAGCCGGCCUGAGAGGGCGACCGGCCACACUGGGACUGAGACACGGCCCAGACUCCUACGGGAGGGCAGCAGUGGGGAAUAUUGCGCAAUGGGCGGAAGCCUGACGCAGCGACGCCGCGUGAGGGAUGAAGGCCUCGGUCGUAAC
rnacentral:rRNA from 1 species